CCUACGGGAGGCAGCAGUGGGGAAUAUUGCGCAAUGGGCGAAAGCCUGACGCAGCGACGCCGCGUGAGGGAUGAAGGUCUUCGGAUCGUAAACCUCUGUCAGCAGGGAAGAACGGUCACUGUGCUAAUCAGCAGUGAAUUGACGGUACCUGCACAGGAAGCACCGGCUAACUCCGUGCCAGCAGCCGCGGUAAUACGGAGGGUGCGAGCGUUAAUCGGAAUUACUGGGCGUAAAGCGCUCGUAGGCGGUAUUUCAAGUCAAGGGUGAAAUCCCCGUGCUCAACGUGGGAAGUGCCUUUGAAACUGGGAAACUGGAGUGUGUGAGAGGAGAGUGGAAUUCCAGGUGUAGGAGUGAAAUGCGUAGAUAUAUGGAGGAACAUCAGUGGCGAAGGCGACUAUCUGGCACAUAACUGACGCUGAGGAGCGAAAGCGUGGGUAGCAAACAGGAUUAGAUACCCUUGUAGUC
rnacentral:rRNA from 1 species